rnacentral:rRNA from 1 species
UACGAGGGGAGCAAGCGUUGUUCGGAUUUACUGGGUUUAAAGGGUGCGUAGGCGGGUUGUUAAGUCAGUGGUGAAAGAUUUGAGCUCAACUCAAAAACUGCCAUUGAUACUGACAAUCUUGAAUAUAGUUGAGGUGGGCGGAAUGUGUCAUGUAGCGGUGAAAUGCUUAGAUAUGACACAGAACACCGAUUGCGAAGGCAGCUUGCUAAACUAUUAUUGACGCUGAGGCACGAAAGCGUGGGGAGCGAACAGG